CGUUACCUGCCCCCUUUUCUCUUUGUUUUUCAGAAAAGACAACUCCUGAACUGCCUAGAUUGGUGUUAGGAUAAAGAAUAUUUGCUUCUGAUCGUGUCACUGAUAUCAGCAACAUAGUUGUCAUUUAAAAAAAAAAAAAAAGUAUCCUGAAUCAGAGUUUUGCUCUGGAACUCUUUCUGUUGCAGUGUUGUCCUUUGAGAGAACGGUUGGUCCGAAAACACAGUGAAAACAUAAAGGAGGAGAAGGAGUGGUGGGGUCCCAAGGAAGCUGCUACCAACUCCAAAAAGUGAACUAUGUCCUUCUUCCCCUCAUCUUCUCCAGGAGUUUCCAUCAGAGCUUGGAAAAGAACAGCCUUGUUAGUCCUGCUGCCUAAAACAAGCAAUUCAGGGCUCUCCCCCCAUGUCGCACACACUCAGAAAUAUGUUUGCUCAGACUGGGCUCACAGAAACAUGCUGUGAACACCGUAAGAAUAUUCUUGUCCCUAUGAAUCUUUCACCAUAGACUGAACAGAACCAAGCCUUCAUAAAAGACAAGACUACUCACCAAGUCAUUUUCAGCAUUUCGCUUCUGUAAAGAGAAAAAAUGGGAAAAAAAAUCAUGACUAAGGACGCCUGCCAUUGCAAUCAUGAAUAAAAUAGUUUCAAAGAAGAUCCUGUCUGAAGAAAAUUAUUGAGAUUUUUCUCACAAUUUGGGGGCUCGUCUGGGAUCUUGUCGCCUACCAGAGAGUUCUUGCCACCACAGACAGGAAGGUACACUCCACUGAUUUUAGCGGUCCCGUCGGGGGUGAUGGGUUGUCUCGGUACGGCCGACAAAGGACCGAGACUGUUAAUCUGGAGAUAGGCUCUGCGAAGCACUGGGGAGAAGGGAGACCACCACAGACACACGACAGAUACAGCACAGACACAGUACAGGCACAGGGAUAACUGCUGAUAACCCGGACCAGGAAUUCCACAGUACUUGUACUGUAGUACCUGUAGUACUCAGCCAGUGAGGAAACGGGAGAAAUCAGGUGUUGGGUAAUAGGGAAUAUAAGGUUAUGAUAAACUUUUACUGUGUGCUCCUGCUUGCAGGAUGCCCGCCAUUGCAAUUGUGAAUAAAAUAGCUUCACUGAAGAUCCUGUCU